UACGUAGGUGGCAAGCGUUGUCCGGAAUUAUUGGGCGUAAAGCGCGCGCAGGUGGUUUCUUAAGUCUGAUGUGAAAGCCCCCGGCUCAACCGUGGAGGGUCAUUGGAAACUGGGGGACUUGAGUGCAGAAGAGGAAAGUGGAAUUCCACGUGUAGCGGUGAAAUGCGUAGAGAUGUGGAGGAACACCAGUGGCGAAGGCGACUUUCUGGUCUGAUUCUGACGCUGAGGAGCGAAAGCCAGGGUAGCGAACGGG
rnacentral:rRNA from 1 species